rnacentral:rRNA from 1 species
GCCGGCAGCUAGCUCUCUGUAACUCUCACAUGGUCGCCCACUGAAGCUAAGCAGGGCUGCGCCCGGUCAGUACCUGGAUGGGAGACCACAUGGGAAAGCUAGGUUGCUGCCGGAA